rnacentral:rRNA from 1 species
AGAAUCAACGCUGGCGGCGUGCCUAACACAUGCAAGUCGAACGAGAAAGGGUAGCAAUACCUGAGUAAAGUGGCGCACGGGUGAGUAACACGUGACUAACCUACCUUUUAGUGGGGGAUAACCUAGGGAAACCUGGGCUAAUACCGCAUAAUACCUACGGGUCAAAGCAGCAAUGCGCUGGAAGAGGGGGUCGCGGCCGAUUAGCUAGUUGGCGGGGUAAUGGCCCACCAAGGCAGUGAUCGGUAUCCGGCCUGAGAGGGCGCACGGACACACUGGAACUGAAACACGGUCCAGACUCCUACGGGAGGCAGCAGUGGGGAAUUUGCGCAAUGGGGGAAACCCUGACGCAGCAACGCCGCGUGGAGGAUGAAGACCCUUGGGUCGUAAACUCCUUUCGAUCGGGACGAUAAUGACGGUACCGGAAGAAGAAGCCCCGGCUAACUUCGCGCCAGCAGCCGC